AUUGAACGCUGGCGGCAGGCCUAACACAUGCAAGUCGAGCGGAUGACGGGAGCUUGCUCCUUGAUUCAGCGGCGGACGGGUGAGUAAUGCCUGGGAAUCUGCCUGGUAGUGGGGGACAACGUUUCGAAAGGAACGCUAAUACCGCAUACGUCCUACGGGAGAAAGCAGGGGACCUUCGGGCCUUGCGCUAUCAGAUGAGCCUAGGUCGGAUUAGCUAGUUGGUGGGGUAAUGGCUCACCAAGGCGACGAUCCGUAACUGGUCUGAGAGGAGGAUCAGUCACACUGGAACUGAGACACGGUCCAGACUCCUACGGGAGGCAGCAGUGGGGAAUAUUGGACAAUGGGCGAAAGCCUGAUCCAGCCAUGCCGCGUGUGUGAAGAAGGUCUUCGGAUUGUAAAGCACUUUAAGUUGGGAGGAAGGGCAGUAAGCUAAUACCUUGCUGUUUUGACGUUACCGACAGAAUAAGCACCGGCUAACUCUGUGCCAGCCGCCGCCGUAACAC
rnacentral:rRNA from 1 species